CAGUAGCGUAUAUUAAAGCUGUUGCAGUUAAAAAGCUCGUAGUUGGAUCUUGGGCCCAGGCCUGCGGUCCGCCGUGAGGCGAGUACUGCAGUCCUGGCCUUCCUCUCGGUUUUCGCCCGGUGCUCUUAACUGAGUGCCAGGAGAGGCCGGAACGUUUACUUUGAAAAAAUUGGAGUGUUCAAAGCAGGCCUCGCGCCUGAACAGCAGAGCAUGGAAUAAUGGAAUAGGACCUCGGUUCUAUUGCGUUGGUUUUCGGAACUCGAGGUAAUGAUUAAGAGGGACUGACGGGGGCAUUCGUAUUGCGGUGUGAGAGGUGAAAUUCUUGGAUCGCCGCAAGACGACCGACUGCGAAAGCAUUUGCCAAGAAUGUUUUCAUUAA
rnacentral:rRNA from 1 species